rnacentral:lncRNA from 1 species
UAACGAAUACUAGCAAAUCAAUAUGAACCAACCUAUAACACGUAAUCAACGAAUCACGGCAGAAACGUGCUUGAAGAUGAAAGCAGAGCACAUGGAAAAAUAUCAAAUUAAUAGAUUUUAAAAAAUAAAUAAGAAGCUGAUGUGAUUCAAUACCGUUAAAAGUUAGCUAAACCAGGACACUUUGAAAGUUAUACUAAUAAUCAAACAUAACGAUCGAAACAAACAAAAUAAAUAGAAGAGGAAAUUGAAUACCAAAAUGUUCAAGUGACAACAAGGACCACAAACAGAGAUCGCAAAUCAAAAAGAGCAAGCUAUAAUUUGAUAUCUAUAUAAUUCCCCGAGAUCUUAAAUGGCUCUUCAUCAAUUUUAUUUCAUAACAAAUGAGACUAGAAAAGAGAGAUAGAAAUGCACCUCGAUAAAGAAAGCUUCUUUGAUAUUUAAGAAUUAUGAUAACAACUUGCUUCAGUAAUUAAUCUCGUGUGGCAGAAUACCAAAACAACAACGGGAUUUUAGCAAGGACCACGAACACGAUUUCGGGCUGACCUCGGCUCAAUCCUUUCUAUUUAAACCGGAGUAAUCAACUUCAAAAAUGAAAUCAAGCAGUUCAGGGGUGCGGCUGGGAGGCUGAUUAGCAUUCCGGCGAAGCAGCAACCGCUGGACGCGGCUGGUUCAGUUGAAGGAUUUGUUUAUAUACUUUUGGCGUAUGAAGAGGAAAGGUGUUGAAGCUUUUUGAGAUGUGUGUGGGUGUGCUCUGUUUGUGUUUAUAGCUGCUGUUGCAGCUUGUUGCUGGUCGAAAAUGGCUGCUUCUCCCUUUUUUCCAAAUUGUCCAUGGGGUUGGGUGUUGAAAGUAGAGGUGUUUAAUGGGUCAACCGGUCCGGGCCGGGUCGGAUUUUCCCCCGACCCCGUUCGGGUUCCGGGCCGGGUCGGCUGGGUCGAACAGUAACGGAUUGCUAAGGGGCCGGAUUGGUUCGGGUUACAAUUGAACCAUACGGGUUGAAAGGGGCCGGGC